AACCGUGUGAAAUUCCAACAGACUUCAGGUCCAAGUAGACUCAAAGAGGAUGGGCAUCUUACUAAGGUGCAGUCCCGUUGAAAAGAGGAGGUUUCCUUGCACGUAGAAAUUGGGAGGCUCUUGGCCAGGAGGAAUCGGGGCCCCGGAGAGGGAGCCCUGGUAAGUUCCUCAGGUGGAGGUGCUUUGGGUCAUUUCCUAGCACUGGAGGGCAAACGGAGAAGUGCUGGCGGGCCUGGAUCAGAGCCGAGCCAGCUGAGAGGUGUUGAGCCUGUCGGCCGACAUAAAGGCUGAGGAGAGACUCAGGAUGUCAGACGGACCAUCAGGGUGUUUAGGGACAUUUUGGAGAAGGAGGUGUGGUUUUGAGUUUUUUGUUUUUUCUUUCCGAAGGCUGGAAUGCACACAACUGUGCUGUAUGCUCUACUGUUCCCCCAGCUGCUGGCUGCUGGCUGGACCACAAGGGUGGGUGACGGAUGCUACCACUGGCCACCCAGAGAGGACCCCUCCCUUUCCUGGCACCGGUGCCUGAAGGAGCCCAACAGGGAGGAUGCCCAGGGCUGCAGGGAGCCUUGUCACCCUCCCAAUGGCGGUUCAAGGGAGGGGUCUCCUCUCCAGCAUCAACGGUGCCCCCGGGUUGCCCUCCUCCAAGCCAGCUUCGCCACCCUGCUGCGAACCACCCUGCCAGCCAAUGACAAGCCAGUUCCUGACUGGGCAGCCUUCUGCUCGUUCAUCGCCAUCCUGGUGAGCAUCACCCUCGGCCUUGUUGCCUGGCACUGCAAGGAGAGGUACUGGGGCCGACGGAGAGCCUGCUGCUGCACCCACGUCUUUCUGAGCGAGAGCCCCGACUCGACGCCCCAAAUGGAAGACCUCUCUUCUUCUCUCCUGAUUCCACUUCCUCUCAUCAUGACCCCCUACAUCGGAAAUCUGACGCACCGCGGCGUUAGCGCUGAUGAUCUUGAGGAGAACCUGGAGGGACCCCCAGUCAUCCACCUUCUUUCUGUAGGUGCUGAAAACCCAGAGGACAAAGCCAUCGGGGGGUCUGUGGGAUCCAGAACAAUUCCUGGCCAUGCUUUGAAGCUCAGGUCUCUCCCAGACCACAUUCUGGAGCCCAGACCUCCACUGGAGAAUGCUCUGGAACCUAGACCUUCCCCGGGCCAUGCUCUGGAACCGAGACCUUCCCCAGACCAUGCUCUAGAACCCAGACCUUCUCCAGGCCAUGCUCUGGAACCCAGACCUUCCCCCGGCCAUGCUCUGGAACCCAGACCUUCCCCGGGCCAUGCUCUGGAACCCAGAGCUUCCCCAGACCAUGCUCUAGAACCCAGAGCUUCCCCAGACCAUGCUCUGGAACCCAGACCUUCCCCAGACCAUGCUCUGGAACCAAGACCUUCCCCAGAUCGUGCUCUGGAACCCAGACCUUCCCCAGAUCAUGCUCCAGGGCUCAUUUUGAAAACAGAACCCAUCAGCACACCAGCUACACCUGGAGAAGAAAAACUACUGAUGUGACCCCUUAUAUGGCUGAGACUGGAUUUCCCAUGCAAUUCCCCAGUCCAUGCUCUGGAACCCAGACCUUCCCCAGAUCAUGCUCCAGGGCUCAUUUUGAAAACAGAACCCAUCAGCACACCAGCUACACCUGGAGAAGAAAAACUCUACUCAUGUGACCGCUUAUACCUCUGAAAGUGGAUUUCCCAUGCACGAUCUUCAUGGCUUGCUUUUAUGAUCCAGCAAAUGAACCAACCCUAUUUAAUUUUUUUAAAACACACCCCCACACUCCCACACCCCCACACACACCUCUUUCCCCAACACCCCUAUUAACAUAAAUGAAGAAACAGCCUCCAUGGUGGGCUUGUUCUAAAUAUUUCCACUAGCUUCUACGGCACCUUGAUCGUUCUCUUCCCGGAGAGAUGCUCUGGGACCUUUUAUUUGUGGUUCAUUUGUCGUUUGUGGGCCUCUUCCGGUUAGGCCUUGAGCUCUGUUUGGCAAAAACCCGGGGCUGCUUCGCUCCCAUGCAGGGAAUUUGCGACGUGCUCUUUUCAAAACGAAAACGGAAUGACUCUUUUUGGGUUCUCGUUAACCUCAAAGAGGCGAAACAGGAAAGCAACUAGAUCUGCAAAACAAGAAAGCAACGAGACCUGUCUGCGGGAAUGACUGCUUCUGGGAGGCAAGGAGCUGUUUUUAGUGCAGACCCUUGUUUUUAAAUGUGUAUGUCUUGUUAUUAAUUAAAAAAAUCCCCAACUUCUGGCUGUUCUCUGGCCUCUUCUUCAGAUUGCCUACUGUAGUAGGUAGGAGGCAAGCUAGGGUCUAGAUUUAUCCCCGUUUCCUGUAUCCCACCUACUCUUUUACGGAUACGUCUGUUAGUUGCAUUUAGGCACGAUCUGUCUUCCAGUGACUUUGCUUUGGAAUUCAUGCCUGUCUUCCCCCCUGUCACACAACAACCGUUAGUUAUUAGGUAGUGCUGGCUUAGAGCCCUUGACUAGCCAAAUCUGCUAGUGUUCAAGGGAGACACACCUCAGAAGAUUAUGGGCUGUCGUUCUAACUGGUACACCAGAGAUGCAAGCCCCAUUAGGGUUGCUAUAAGUCGGUUCCAGCUUGACAGCACACAACAACACCAUGCAGUGGAUCUUAGAUUAGUAAGAUACAAGAGAACAGAAUGAAUUAUUUUUGUGGGCUCAUACUUUUGCCUAUUCUUCUUCUGUUUGCCCACACCAAGGGGUUUGUAUAAUGUCUGUGUUUCUAGAUUCAGAGCCUUUUUUUGUUUCCAAUACAGGUUUUCUAUUAAUCACAAACAAGGAAAGGAAAAGUAGCCAUCUAAAGCCCUAUACGAAUAAAAUCCUUGUGAGUAUCCA
ensembl:lncRNA